CCAGGAGCCUGGUACCCUCGUGUCCAGGCCCAGGUCAGCACCCAUGGCGUUGCCCCUGUCUUCUUCCCAUUGCCUUACUGCCCCUGUCCCCUUGUCCCAAGACCCCCUCCUGCCCUCUUCUGAGGGUCCUCGGCAAUGGAAAGGGGUGACCUUGAGUCAGAUCAGAAGCUCGUCCCACCCUCGAGCUUCCCUUGAGGGGACAUUUCUGGGGGCUAGAGCUUGGGCUGUUCAUGAGUUGUGUUGGUGAUGGCAAGGGCUAUGACUCUUCUCGACGAGAGUACCCUCUGCCCUGGUAGAGACAGGAAAUGCAGCUCGGCAGCAUGAAAUGCCCCAGUUGGCACAGGGCCAGAUCCAGCCGGACUGCCUGUCUUCUGUGGGCCUGGGCUUCUGGGCUUGGGGCAGGCCUUCAGGGCAGUUGUAGUGUGACCAGAGAGUGCUCGCUGCACCAGGGAAGCUAAUAAGCAGGCAGGGAGGGACCCCCUGCCUCAUCCCCAAACAAGCCCUUGUGGGCACUUCCUAGAAGCAAUCAUUGACAUUUGUGUGACCUUUCACGGUCAGCUAGCCCCCAUCCAUAGCCAUGAGCUCAUGUUUCCUCACGGCAAUCCCUUGGGGGUUGCCUACUACCUCGGGGUAGUAUUAGCCCAUUUUGGAGGUGGCAGUCACUUUCCUGGACUGCCAGUGGAACCUGGGUUCAAAUGCAAGUGUUCUGACUCAUUCAAAGUCAUGAACUUUCCAUUGUGACAUAAACAAUCUCACAGAGCUCCAUUCUCUUGCAGGGAACCCACAGCCCUAAAGUGACAAAUGGGGCUAAAGAUUAGAUUUGUGUAUGAGCAAGCAGCAUGACCGCCCCACCCAUAGGGCAGGGGACCCUCUUUCUGGGAGUGGGGGUGGCCCCUCAAAUGGCAGACCAAGUGUAGUCCUUGGAGAGGCAGAGAGGUUAGUCCACUGACCCACUGGGGAACACACGAGCUGAAGGACCAGAGAGAGGACACCUUGAGUGUAGAUGAGCUGAUAUCAAUUUAUUAAGCUCUGUGCACAUUCAUCCUCACAACAGCAAUCCUGUGAGGUGGGCUUCAGCAUCUCUGUUUUACACAAAAGGAAACUGAGGCACAGAGUAGGGGGUAACUUGCCCAAGGCCACACUGUGGGGACAGGAGCUGAGGAAUAGGGCUUUGCCCCCAGGUUGCCUUCCCUUGUGCCUGCCCCAUCAGCAUCUCCAACACAAGCCUGCACCUGUCAGAGUCACUGGAACCUUCCAAGCCAGGCCGGGCCUAUCAGCCUGUGCAGGUAGGCCAGCUCCACCAGGUUGAGCAGGAUGCAGAUGGCGGCUGUGACCACCAUGAAGAGAGUGAAGAUGUUUUUCUCCGAGGGCUUGGAGAUGAAGCAGUCUACCUGGUUGGUGCACGGGGCUGCCUGACACUUGACCAGCUUCACAGGCAGGAGCACAGAGAGGACGAGUCUCCUGGUCAAGGUCACAAGCCAGUGAGAGCAGGCUGGGAUUGGAGCCAGGCAGUUUGGCAUCGAUUCUAAUUGCAGCCACUGGGCCAGGAUCAGAGCCUCGUUGGUCAUGAGGCCAUCUGGGCAGUGACCUGGAGCUCCCAUCUACGACGAAUUUCAGACACUGCUGGAAGAAACCGAAGUUUCUGCAUGAGACCCAUGCAUCGCUGGCAGGAUCUGGAGGAAUCCUACUAAGCUGACUCUGCCAGAAGACAGGAGACUUGCAGCUGCAGGCAGCUGGUUGCACCCGCCGCUGGAGUUCUCGUUUCUCCUCUCACACCUGUCUGUUUCCAAAGGAGCAGGCGGGCUGUGAAGCGCUGUGGGAUUCUUCUCAGUGCUGGGGCUGGAAGAGAGGUGGUGGGGACAGCCACUCUGGGUGUCAGAAUCCAGCACCUGCUCCCAAGCCCACGGUGGUAUGACUCAGCUCCCAGCUUCCUUGCAGUGGAGGACAAACCCAGGUCUAGCGCUGGGUGGUCCUGGAAGUGGAGGCGAGUCUUGCAGUUGUCCUCUGGGCAGCAGAGGCGAUAGCAGCCCAGGUUCAGAAGCUGGGUCUGUCUUCCCCAGGUCUCCUCAGCUGUGACACUGCGUCCCUGCCCACUGCAUCCCUAAGCUCACCCUGACCCAGCCUGGCUCUGAGUGGGCAGCCCAGUAUGGCAGUGGGCAGAUGUGGCACAGAUGUGAGAACUGGGGACUCUCAGAGCCUACAAGCCAGUCGCUCCCCUCAUGGUGGCUUCCCAGACCCCUGCUGGUUUUACUCAUUUUCCACUGGGAGAAGGUGCUGACACUAGCUUCUCCCUUGGGAGCAAGCUGAUAUCUCAGCACGAAUAGGUAAUCAUAAGGUGAUAUGGUGCAGCUAGCCCAGGGGAAGGAAGGAAGGCUGCUUCAGACAGGGGAAGUAGUGCUGGUUCCUGAUCCCCACUGUAGCCUGGAAACUGCUUCCCCCAGGAAGGCUGUGCCCCAUCCACCCUGGGGCCCCACACCCCGCCUCACACUCAUGUCCAGACUAGACUCUCUGCUUCUGAUUAGGCUCACUUUGGCUACAUGUCCUUGGAUCUGUCCAGUAAUUUGGAAUCUAGGUUGCCUCCUGCCUAGCCACCUGCAAACAGGCACCAUCUGCCAGCCCAGUUCUCCCUUCCCUAGCCCAAACAGGCGUGUCUGAAUGCACUUGGGGGUCAGUGACUGUGCGGACCAUGUUGGCAGGCAUGGAGAUUUGUUGAGGCCGACACAUGCACUGCAGCCUGAUCCCAUGUCUACCAUGAACUUGAACUUGCCUGCUGUGCUUGGAGGGGGGUCAGCAUGUAUGACAUUUAAGGACACAGGUACAGUCUAUGUACACACAUGUCCAGAUCUCUCCCGUGUGGGUAUGCAUGCGUACACAUGUGUGUACAUGUGGCUCUCUAAACUUGCUUCUGUGUGUGUUUGUCCUGG